rnacentral:rRNA from 1 species
GUAGGUGGCAAGCGUUGUGCGGAAUUAUUGGGCGUAAAGCGCGCGCAGGCGGUCCUUUAAGUCUGAUGUGAAAGCCCACGGCUCAACCGUGGAGGGUCAUUGGAAACUGGGGGACUUGAGUACAGAAGAGGAAAGCGGAAUUCCAAGUGUAGCGGUGAAAUGCGUAGAGACUUGGAGGAACACCAGUGGCGAAGGCGGCUUUCUGGUCUGUAACUGACGCUGAGGCGCGAAAGCGUGGGGAGCAAACAGGGAUUAGAUACCCUGGUAGUCCACGCCGUAAACGAUGAGUGCUAAGUGUUAGGGGGUUUUCCGCCCCCUUAGUGCUGCAGCUAACGCAUUAAGCACUCCGCCUGGGGAGUACGGCCGCAAGGCUG